rnacentral:lncRNA from 1 species
GGUGGGAAUAAUAAGUUCGGAUAUAUGAGGUGUGGAUCAUGUGGAUGGGGCGUACAGAAUAAAGAAUAAUGAGGGGAAAAGUAAUAUAAAAAAUUGAGAAUCACGGGGCUCUAGAAUAUAAUGAUUAACUGCAACAACAACAAAAAUGGAUACAAAAUACCGAUUACAAAAACAGAACAAUGUCCCAAACACAAUUAUGAAGUAAUUACAGUCUAGCCAUUAUUUUAAAAGAUAAAGAAC